ensembl:lncRNA
UGCGGCUGUUCACGGCAAUUUGCGGGCAACGCCGAAAACUGCCGUAAAUUUUUAGAAAUUGAUGUGGGCCUCCCUUGGCAGUUGUCCCCCCAUGACCCCCCUCCUCCUAAUUCUAGGGGAGGCUUUGACAUGUAAAUGAAAAUGCUGUGAGCUAUACAAACGCAAAUCAGGGUCGCAGAGGGAGUUUUAGCCCAGGUGACAUUUUUUUAAAAGACUAAUCUCGCCUCAUAAUGAGGCGGUGACCUCGUAUUUGCUCCGGGAAAAGUCCAGAUUUAGACGACGUCAUUGUCUCCGCCUGUGAGAUGUAUUGUGAGACGGGACGCAGGAGCUUCAGGUUCAGCCGGAACACUCAUUGCGGGCGGAAGCUGCGAAGGAUU